rnacentral:rRNA from 1 species
UACAGAGGGUGCGAGCGUUAAUCGGAAUUACUGGGCGUAAAGCGUGCGUAGACGGUUGCGUAAGUCGGAUGUGAAAUCCCCGGGCUCAACCUGGGAAUUGCAUUCGAGACUGCGUAGCUGGGGUGCGGAAGAGGGAAGCGGAAUUUCCGGUGUAGCGGUGAAAUGCGUAGAUAUCGGAAGGAACAUCAGUGGCGAAAGCGGCUCCUGGUCCAGCACCGGACGUCAGGCA